AGAAGGCCAUGGACAACUUCUAUGAACUAUUGGUGAGCUCAGAAGUCCAGGUGUGUGUUCUGUGAAGGCUGAUGGAUUAAUUGCUAGAUAGAUGGAAUCAAACUAAGGGAAAGGAAGCUCUGAGCUCUGCCCCAAAGGACAAAUCCUGAGGGUCCAGACUCCCACUGCGAUCCCACAGACAACAGAGGGCGGCAAAUGAAGGGUCGGUGAGGUGCGAAUAAACACAAGAGGCCUUCUGGGAAA